AAAUUCGGCAACGAUAACCUUUGUUCAUUAUAGCAUUUAACUCGAGAUGAAUCCUGAUCAUUUUUUUCGACUACACUCAACAAUUCUUUGAUCCAAACAAGGUACAUUAUAAUUAGCCGAAACUAACCAUUUACCUGACUUUGAAAGUAAAGCAAAAUAAUCAAAAAGAUGCACUUUACAUGAAACUUUGUCAACAUAUACAUCCAUUAUCGCGAUUUAAGAACGGCUCCUUCCACAAUUUUCCAACCGGAGUUUGCCCAGGACAUGUCGUACCUAGUUGUAUAGGUAGUACUGUAUGAGUCAUUGUGCUCUGGAUGGGCUACAUCAGUUAAACUUGCUGAUUCCUCUAGAGUAGCUUCCACAGUAGCACGUCGGCCAUCAGCUGAGACAGUUACACUGUCAAUGGCAAGGUUUAAAAGCUUGUACUCCCAAAACCAACCAU
rnacentral:misc_RNA from 1 species